rnacentral:rRNA from 1 species
UACGUAUGGAGCAAGCGUUAUCCGGAUUUACUGGGUGUAAAGGGAGCGUAGGCGGUGCUAUAAGUCUGAUGUGAAAGCCCGGGGCUCAACCGCGGGACUGCAUUGGAAACUGUAGGACUGGAGUGUCGGAGGGGUAAGUGGAAUUCCUAGUGUAGCGGUGAAAUGCGUAGAGAUUAGGAAGAACACCGGUGGCGAAGGCGGCUUUCUGGACGACAACUGACGCUGAGGCGCGAAAGCGUGGGGAGCAAACAGG